AUAACUUCGGGAAACCGGAGCUAAUACCGGAUAAUAUUUCGAACCGCAUGGUUCGAUAGUGAAAGAUGGUUUUGCUAUCACUUAUAGAUGGACCCGCGCCGUAUUAGCAAGUUGGUAAGGUAACGGCUUACCAAGGCGACGAUACGUAGCCGACCUGAGAGGGUGAUCGGCCACACUGGAACUGAGACACGGUCCAGACUCCUACGGGAGGCAGCAGUAGGGAAUCUUCCGCAAUGGGCGAAAGCCUGACGGAGCAACGCCGCGUGAGUGAUGAAGGUCUUCGCAUCGUAAAACUCUGUUAUUAGGGAAGAACAUACGUGUAAGUAACUAUGCACGUCUUGACGGUACCUAAUCAGAAAGCCACGGCUAACUACGUGCCAGCAGCCGCGGUAAUACGUAGGUGGCAAGCGUUAUCCGGAAUUAUUGGGCGUAAAGCGCGCGUAGGCGGUUUUUUAAGUCUGAUGUGAAAGCCCACGGCUCAACCGUGGAGGGUCAUUGGAAACUGGAAAACUUGAGUGCAGAAGAGGAAAGUGGAAUUCCAUGUGUAGCGGUGAAAUGCGCAGAGAUAUGGAGGAACACCAUUGGCGAA
rnacentral:rRNA from 1 species